GAUGAAGAACGCAGUGAAAUGCGAUACGUAAUGUGAAUUGCAGAAUUCAGUGAAUCAUCGAGUCUUUGAACGCACAUUGCGCCCCCUGGUAUUCCGGAGGGCAUGCCUGUCCGAGCGUCAUUGCUGCCCUCAAGCACGGCUUGUGUGUUGGGCCCCGUCCUCCUUCCGGGGGACGGGUCCGAAAGGCAGCGGCGGCACCGCGUCCGGUCCUCAAGCGUAUGGGGCUUUGUCACUCGCUUUGUAGGCCUGGCCGGCGCUUGCCGAUCAACCAAACUUUUUAUCAGGUUGACCUCGGAUCAGGUAGGGAUACCCGCUGAACUUAAGCAUAUCAAUAAGCGGAGGA
rnacentral:misc_RNA from 1 species